ACUUUAUCACUCAUUCGGCAUACUGCGAACAUAUCAUUCAACAAUGGUUUUAGAUUCUGUUUACUUCAUUUUCCACAUAAUUUGUCUGAUAUUAUGGGUCGGAAGUUUGACACCAACAUAUGCCUUUGGUCAGCCAACAAGUAACAUUGCCCUCCACCAGCCUGCAUUCCAACAAAACACAUAUACUUCGGACCCAACUGAACCAAAUGAAGAUAGAUUUGACGCCAGUAAUGCUGUAGAUGGUUUGAAGUCCGAUCUCAGUGGACUAGGAUGUCAAUGUUCUCUCUUUGCCAAUAAUAAAACCACGGCCACUUGGUGGGUAAACCUCAGACGGCUCGCAAAUAUCCAUUACAUCAUAAUAUAUUAAAGGACGGACAACGUUGUUUGGGAUUCAUCAAAUGGCUACACCUCUAGAUUCUUGGGUUUUUCUAUAUAUGUCUCUAAUACAACAUCUAAAAUUGAUGGAGCAUUGUGUUAUAAGAACAAUAUUUUCACCACAGAAACAAUACCAGCAGUUUUUAAUGUCACCUGCGCUGUGUAUGGACAGUAUGUUAUUUAUUACAACGAAAGACUCCAAGGACUUGUGUAUCCACAUGGUUAUUCCAAAGACGCGUUCGCUGAUAUAUGUGAAUUUGAAGUAUAUGAGUGUGACAUUGGAUAUUAUGGUUAUAACUGUACUGAAACCUGUGGACACUGCGUCGAUGAAGCAGAGUGUUCCCCUGUUGAUGGGACCUGUUCUACUGGGUGCAGUGGUGGAUACCUUGGACAGUUGUGUAAGACAGAAUGUAAAAGUGGAAACUAUGGUUUCAGAUGUAACGAGACCUGUGGUCAUUGUUCUGACCUAAUGUAUUGUUCCCAUGUUAAUGGCUCGUGUCUUACUGGGUGUAUGCCAGGAUAUGAAGGAAAGAGAUGUCAACAAAAAUGCAAGUUCGGAUUCUAUGGAAUUGGUUGCCUUCAAGAAUGUAGCAGCUUUUGCAAAACAUCACGUGACUGUGACCACGUGUCUGGCGUUUGUAGACACGGCUGUAGAAAUGGAUGGGAGGGUGAUAAUUGCUUUGAUGUAUCAAACAUUAACGAAGAUGGCGAAGAAUCGGAAUCUAAGUUUCAUGGCUUUGUAGCGGCGUUUUGUGUUUCACUGGGUUUGAAUUGUAUCCUUAUUGCAAUCUUCGUUGUAAAACGGUUAAGACGUGCAAGUCCAGGGGUGGCAAAGGAUCAAGUUAAAAAAGAAAAAUUUAAAGGAGACAAUGAUGUUUCCAAAGAGGCCUCAAACGAAACGUCAUAUCAGGAGCCUUGUGAAAUUAACAAAUCAGAAACCUAUGAAUCAUGUCAGUAUAUUACUACAAAACAAACAAUGACACAUGAUUUUUGAUGUAAGAUGACAAAACUACAUUCUGCUAGAUUACAACAGCUUCUUAUAUACUUAAUAAAUAAAAUUCUGUUGUAUCAAUAGAAUUCGCGAUCCACAAUUUUUGUUGUAUUUGUGGGUAGCCUUAUCCCACAAAUUUACAUCUCGGUCGAAAAAAAGAAUUUGAAAGGGUUAGUUUUCUAAUUAAAACCAAACAAAGACGCAUCCACGAAAACCCACAAUCCAUGAAAGUUUGCCCAAUUUAAUUUAAAUUUUUUAAAGCCAAUUACGCAUACGUAUUUCAUAUAUAAAUAAAAUUGUAUCCCUCGUUUAUACGAUAUUUCAAAUAGAAUAUAAAACAAAAAAAAUUAUUUACACAUAUAUUAUAAACCACUACUUGUUCAAAUUAUAAUGUAGCUCUUCUGAGGAGUAAUACGUAUAUGUACAUAUAUUCUAUCUAUCUAAAUAUUGGAUUUAUUUAUCCAACAAAUACUAUAAAUAUAUAUGUUUACAUUGGAACUAUGCAUUUAUGUUUAUGCGUAAUACUUGUACUCUGAAUUGUGAGUAUGUGAAAGUUCAAUAAAAAAAAUAUUUUGAUGU
rnacentral:misc_RNA from 1 species